AUUUUAUUUGUCCUAGUUUUCAUCAAGAAAUCACCCAUGAAGUUUGAACCCCAUGGAGAUCAAGAUGGCAAUGCCACUAACAUUUGGCUUCACUAUUAAAAAUAAAUCAAAUCAAUGAAAUACCAAAAAGGUCAUGCUUCUACAGGUUGGGUACCGCAGUUGGGAGAUGGCUACCUUUCUAUAAAAGUGUGAUGAAAUGCUUUAUUUGCCUUGUGUGUCUGAUCUUCUCCAUGGCCCAAAGCAUUGUUUGGGCUACCACAACUGGUUUGAAGAAAGUGACCAUCUCGCAUGACAUUGCUCAACCCAAAAUCAAUUAUCUUGAGAUUGCCUACGGAGCUCAGAAGCAAAUUCUCAACCCAUCUUCUGUUGAUAAUACUUAACUGCAGAUAUUAUCUACUUCGAAUAAAACUAGAGAGAUGACAAUCCCAAGAAAAUUGCUGGUGGUUCAAGCUCAAAAACUAGAGAGAUGACAAUCUUGGACUAAA